rnacentral:rRNA from 1 species
UACGAAGGGGGCUAGCGUUGCUCGGAAUUACUGGGCGUAAAGGGCGCGUAGGCGGAUACUUAAGUCGGGGGUGAAAGCCCAGGGCUCAACCCUGGAAUAGCCUUCGAUACUGGGUAUCUUGAGUUCGGGAGAGGUGAGUGGAACUCCGAGUGUAGAGGUGAAAUUCGUAGAUAUUCGGAAGAACACCAGUGGCGAAGGCGACUCACUGGCCCGAUACUGACGCUGAGGCGCGAAAGCGUGGGGAGCAAACAGG